AGUCUAUUAUUUAAUUAUUGACUUCGGACUUGUUCACAAUGCAUUUUUUAAAAAGAAUUCUUGUUCUGCAGCACCCGCAACAAAUCCAAGCAGUUCUUUGUGUCGAUUUUUUCCAGAUUGCAAAAAGGUCGAGUGCCCUUUUAUCCACCCAAAGCCAUGUCGAUUCAGCACCCACUGUAAGAGAGCUGACUGCACAUUCUACCAUCCUGCAGUUACAUUACCUCCUCGCCAUGCAUUAAAAUGGACCAGGCCUCAACAAAAUGGUGAAUGAUCGAUUUGGAUCGUGCUUGAUCGCAUAUUGUGGAUAUAAGGCUGCAAAUGUUUGAAGAUGUAGCAUUUUACAAUUUUGUAUUAUUUUUCAAUAUUGUUUAACAUUGAAAGUCAAAAAGAUUUUGAUGUUAAAAAUAACUUUCUCCCCAGUGUGAAUUGCUUGAUCAUUUUUCCCAUACAUAGAUGCAGCCUCACUAAGGUUAUUCAGUGGUGGGUUUUAAAGAUACAUUUUGUAACUUGUUUUGUGCUGUUCUAGAGUUUUCUACUGGAUGAUGAAAUAUCCAAAGAGAAAUGCCAUUGUCUGAUGUAACAUCCCUUUUGUUAAAAAAAAUUCUACAGUAAAAAUUGAUUUAAGGCACUUGUUUAAUGAAUCAGUUACUGUUGUAUUGUUUAUUUGUAAUUCCUGUAUUUAGGGUCACUUACAUUGGUCAUACUUGUCAUUCAGCAAUGUUUUUUAAAUUAGUCAUAGAUUAACAUUGUAAUUAGUGUUAAAUCCCUUUGAUUGUAAUUGUUCUACAGAAACAAUAACUAUUUACAGAGGAACUUCGAAAUUCAGAUAGUUUGAAUCGGGAUUAUCCGAAUAAGAUCGCAAGGUCCCGAUUCUUGGCUAAACUGUGUUAUCUGGCAUUCGAUUAUCCGAACAAAAUACUCCCCAUCCGUGUCAUUGGGAUAGUCGAGGUUCCUCUAUUCUUCUUGAACACUGAACUUUACCACUGUCCAAAAGGGAUCCAGUUAUGCCACACUAUGGCCCAGGAAUUUGAAACCACAGCAGUUGAAAUUUAAGGCACAACACUUCCUGAAACUAUUUUUGUGACAGAAAAAAACAAUCAACUUGAAUAUUAUUUUAUAAGCUAUAUUUUAUUUCCAUUGGGUUUUGAAAUCAGUUUUUAAAAAAAUUAUUCAGGUUGGGAAUUGUCUGGUGCCUUGAAAUAUGGUUAAGUGCAGUAACUAAGUUGCAUGUUUGUCUUGGCUUCACCUGGCUCCUCAUUUGAAGUUAGUUAUUGAAAUGAUGGCAUUAUUUGCAAAUGAAAGAACUCUGUUUUUUGUUACAAAA